rnacentral:rRNA from 1 species
GUGGGGAAUAUUGCGCAAUGGGGGAAACCCUGACGCAGCGACGCCGUGUGAGGGAAGAAGGCUUUCGGGUCGUAAACCUCUGUCAGAAAGGAAGAACCUCCCAAGUCCGAAUAGGGCUUGGGACUGACGGUACUUUCAAAGGAAGCACCGGCUAACUCCGUGCCAGCAGCCGCGGUAAUACGGAGGGUGCAAGCGUUAAUCGGAAUCACUGGGCGUAAAGCGCGCGUAGGCCGCUUUGUAAGUCGGACGUGAAAGCCCUCGGCUCAACCGGGGAACUGCGUUCGAUACUGCGAGGCUUGAGUCCUGGAGAGGGUGGCGGAAUUCCGGGUGUAGGAGUGAAAUCCGUAGAUAUCCGGAGGAACACCGGUGGCGAAGGCGGCCACCUGGACAGGUACUGACGCUGAGGCACGAAAGCGUGGGGAGCAAACAGGAUUAGAAACCCUGGUAGUCC